AUACGUAGGGAGCGAGCGUUGUCCGGAAUUACUGGGCGUAAAGGGCGCGUAGGCGGCGCUUCAAGUCGUCUGUCAAAUGGAAGGGCUUAACCCUUUUUCGCAGACGAAACUGGAGAGCUUGAGAAGCAGAGAGGCAAACAGAAUUCCUGGUGUAGCGGUGAAAUGCGUAGAUAUCAGGAAGAAUACCAGUGGCGAAGGCGGUUUGCUGGCUGCAUACUGACGCUGAAGCGCGAAAGCCAGGGGAGCGAACGGGAUUAGAUACCCCGGUAGUCCUGGCAGUAAACGAUGUAUGCUGGGUGUGAGACUAGCGAUAGUUUCGUGCCGAAGUUAACGCGAUAAGCAUACCGCCUGGGGAGUACGGUCGCAAGAUUGAAACUCAAAUGAAUUGACGGGG
rnacentral:rRNA from 1 species